rnacentral:rRNA from 1 species
AGGGCACCACCAGGAGUGGAGCCUGCGGCUUAAUUUGACUCAACACGGGAAAACUUACCCGGCCCGGACACUGGAAGGAUUGACAGAUUGAGAGCUCUUUCUUGAUUCAGUGGGUGGUGGUGCAUGGCCGUUCUUAGUUGGUGGAGCGAUUUGUCUGGUUAAUUCCGAUAACGAACGAGACUCUAGCCUACUAAAUAGACCAGAGGCUUCUUAAAACACGUCUCUGGCUGCUUCUUAGAGGGACAGGCGGCGAUUCAGCCGCACGAAACAGAGCAAUAACAGGUCUGUGAUGCCCUUAGAUGUCCGGGGCCGCACGCGCGCUACACUGAAGUGAUCAGCGUGCUUUUUGUACCCUGCUCUGCCAAGAGUGGGUAACCCAAUGAACCUUCUUCGUGAUUGGGAUAGGGGAUUGUAAUUAUUCCCCUUGAACGAGGAAUUCCCAGUAAGCGCGAGUCAUAAGCUCGCGUUGAUUACGUCCCCUGCCCUUUGUACACACCGCCCGGUCGGCUCCUCCCGAUU